CCUACGGGAGGCAGCAGUGGGGAAUAUUGGACAAUGGGCGAAAGCCUGAUCCAGCAAUUCCGCGUGUGUGAAGAAGGCCUUCGGGUUGUAAAGCACUUUAGUUGGGGAAGAAACAGUUUGGCCACACCAAGCCUUGACGGUACCCAAAGAAUAAGCACCGGCUAACUCUGUGCCAGCAGCCGCGGUAAUACAGAGGGUGCAAGCGUUAAUCGGAUUUACUGGGCGUAAAGGGUGCGUAGGUGGUUUUGUAAGUCGGAUGUGAAAGCCUGGGGCUCAACCUCAGAAUUGCACUCGAUACUGCAAGACUAGAGUUCGGUAGAGGGCGGCGGAAUUCCCGGUGUAGCGGUGAAAUGCGUAGAUAUCGGGAGGAACAUCAAUGGCGAAGGCAGCCGCCUGGGCCUGAACUGACACUGAGGCACGAAAGCGUGGGUAGCAAACAGGAUUAGAUACCCUGGUAGUCCACGCUGUAAACGAUGAGAACUUGACGUUGGUUCGUUUUACGAAUCGGUGUCGUCAGCUAACGCGAUAAGUUCUCCGCCUGGGGAGUACGGCCGCAAGGUUGAAACUCAAAGAGAGUAGACGUGAGACGAGCGACGACGACGACGACGGAGGAGGAGG
rnacentral:rRNA from 1 species